CCUACGGGAGGCAGCAGUGAGGAAUAUUGGUCAAUGGUCGGGAGACUGAACCAGCCAAGCCGCGUGAGGGAUGAAGGUACAGAGUAUCGUAAACCUCUUUUGUCAGGGACCAAAGGCGGGGACGUGUCCCCGGAUGCGUGUACCUGAAGCAAACGCAUCGGCUACCUCCGUGCCAGCAGCCGCGGUAAUACGGAGGAUGCGAGCGUUAUCCGGAUUUAUUGGGGUAAAGGGGUGCGCAGGCGGUCUGUUACGUCGGCGGUCAAAGCCCGGGGCUCAACCCCGGCCCGCCGUUGAAACUGGCAGUCUCGAGUUGGAGAGAAGUAUGCGGAAUGCGCGGUGUAGCGGUGAAAUGCAUAGAUAUCGGGAAGAACUCCGGUUGCGAAGGCAGCAUGCCGGCUCCACACUGACGCUGAGGCACGAAAGCGUGGGUAUCGAACAGGAUUAGAUACCCGGGUAGUC
rnacentral:rRNA from 1 species